GGAUCACCUGAGGUCGGGAAUUCAAGACCAUCCUGACCAACAUGGAAAAACCCCGACUCUAUUAAAAAUGCAAAAUUAGCUGGGCAUGGUGGUGCAUGCCUGUAAUCCCAGCUACUUGGGAGGCUGAGGCAGAAAAAUCACUUGAACCUGGGAGGUGGACAUUGUGGUGACCCAAGAUUGCGCCAUUGCUUCCAGCCUGGGCAACAAGAGUGAAACUCCAUCUCAAAAAAAAAUAAAAAAUAAAAAUAAAUAAAUAAAAUUUUCUAUUCUGCCACAAAACAUGAUACAGUAUAGCAAAGCAUGUUGCUGUGUUGCUGAAAUUUUCUAAGUUUGAAUGGCUGCAUCCUAGUCUAUCAAGAGGAUAGACAAUAAACUAAUGUAACCAGUCCCUUGUUAUUGGGUAUAUGGGUUGUUGCUGAUAUUUAUUUGAAACAUAACUGUUUUUGAAAUAUAAUUUACAUGCAGAAAGUGCACCAAUUUUAAGAGUACAGUUUGGUAAGUUUUGACAGAUGUAUAAACCUGUGCUACCACUACCACAGUCAAGAUAUUGACCAUCGGAUCACCUUUGUUCCUUUCUGUGGUAAUGUGCUGGAGCUAGCUAGUACCAGCUCAGGAGAGCCAAAUAUGUACAUCUCUUCCCAAAUCUACAUUAGUAACAUUGUAUUAGUAGCUCAAAGUUGGUCAUGGUGGGAGUAUUUACACCACAGAAAACAGUAAGUACCACAAAUCCAGGCUUUUUCUUUCUUUCUUUUUUUGGGAACGAAUUUACCAGCACCAUGACUUACACUCCUUUGCAAUCAACCUCCUACAUCCUACAGCCACAGUCUACUUGUGGACAUUAUUUUAUUUUGUGUUCUCUAGAAUUUUAUGUAAGUAAAAUCGUGCCAUAUGUACUCUUUGGUGCUUCUUUUGCUCCGUGUGUUUUUGAAAUUAAGCACAUUGUUGUGCAUAGCAGUAGUUCAUCCCUUUUCAUCGUUUUCCAUUGCAUGGAUGUACCACACAUUUAUUCAUUCAUCUGGUGAUGGACAUUUGGGUUGCUUCCAUUUGGGGUUACUAUAAAUAAACUUGUCAUAAAUAUUUAUGUGCCAGUCAUUGGAUGGACAAGUUUGAAUUUUCUUGGAAAAAUAGCUAGGAGUAGAGUUGCUGGGUCAUAUGUUAAGCUUAUAUUUUUAUAUAAGGAGCUGCUAACCUGUUUUCCAAAGUGGUUUGAGACAGGAUUUUGCUGUGUUGCCCAGCCUGGAGUGCAGUGCCCUACAGCCUCAACCUGCCCAGCCAAUCUUCUCACCUCAACACCCCAAGUAACUGGGACCACUGGUGCAUGCCACCACUCCUGGCUAAUUUUAUUUUUUGUAGAGACAGAGUCUCACUGUGUUGCUCAGGCUGAUCUCGAACUCCUGGACUCAAGUGAUCCUCUCACCUUGGCCUCCCAAGGUGCUGGGAAUACAGGAAACUACUGGAGGAUGUGGUGCACCAGAAUAAGAGAAUAAACCAAGAAACAGGAAGACGUGAUCCAGGCAACAGGAUAUUCCAGUAUAGUGUUGGAAACAGAAGCCCAGUAGUGAAAGCUACAGCUGCCAAAUACUUGCAGUGGAAUCACAGGAGCAAUCACAGGUCUUUAAUUUAAUUCUGGAGUGUGAGCAGGAACCAGUUAACUACAUUCAUUGUCCAACCCCCACUGGUUUGAAAGAAGACUCCAAAUUCUUGGCAUACGAAUCAGCUGUUCGGUAGCUCCACCUUAUCCCUGCAGCGAAGCAGCAGAACCGCCAAUGGCGGCACCUCAGGAUUCACACUGUGGGUGGUGAGGCCUUCCGCUGAAGGAGGUACUGGUGGAUGCUCUCAGCAUCUCGCUUUAGCCAGGCAGCAUUCAGCAGAAUAUUUUCACAACACUGCUGGAUGGUACGCUCAGCUGAAGGAGCUGGGUGACUCUCGAAGAAAGCCUGGUAUAAAACAACCCAGAAUGCAGGAUCAUUACUAGCAAUAAGAAGUUAAUAUUACAGGUUAUGAAAAAAUACCCACUGGUCUAUAUGAAGGAUGCAUAUAUCUUCAGGCAUGAGAAUUUACCACUGCCACCCUCAGGCUAAAAGAAAACAAGCAACUCCUUGGACCUGCAUAUAGGAAUUCUCCCCUUAAAUAUUAUAUGCUUAACAACCUAAUCAAAAGUUAAUAAAGAGACAGAACCUA